GACGAACGCUGGCGGCGUGCUUAACACAUGCAAGUCGAACGGAAAGGCCCUGCUUUUGUGGGGUGCUCGAGUGGCGAACGGGUGAGUAACACGUGAGUAACCUUCCCUUGACUUUGGGAUAACUUCAGGAAACUGGGGCUAAUACCGGCUAGGAGCUCCUGCUGCAUGGGGGGGGUUGGAAAGUUUCGGCGGUUGGGGAUGGACUCGCGGCUUAUCAGCUUGUUGGUGGGGUAGUGGCUUACCAAGGCUUUGACGGGUAGCCGGCCUGAGAGGGUGACCGGCGACAAUGGGACUGAGAUACGGACCAGACUCCUACGGGAGGCAGCAGUGGGGAAUAUUGCACAAUGGGCGGAAGCCUGAUGCAGCAACGCCGCGUGCGGGAUGACGGCCUUCGGGUUGUAAACCGCUUUCGCCUGUGACGAAGCGUGAGUGACGGUAAUGGGUAAAGAAGCACCGGCUAACUACGUG
rnacentral:rRNA from 1 species